GUCUGUUUUAUCUGUUGUGCCAACUGUUACUAAAUGUUACAAUCAAAGGAAUGUUGGGGCCAUGACAUUCUUGAAUGUGCUACUUCUCUGGCAGCAUCCAGCACAGACCUGCAGAAGGUCACAGAGCAGCAGGAGGGCUGUAGCCCUGAUCUUGUGACCAACAAAGCAAAUGAAGACACAGAAGGAACAUGCUGUCCUCAUGAUCAUCAGAGACCAAGCUAGGAGACAAGCAAAGCAAUAAUUUCCAUGCAGUCUGAUUAGUGCCAAGGUGGGAGGUGGAUGGAGAUGGAGAAAGCUCCCUGGAGGAAGGAGGAGGCUGCUGUCCAGGUUCCACACCAGCCCAGCCCAACUACCUUGUUUAGGUCCAGGCUUCCACACCCUUCUCUCAAGAUGUCACAGAAACCUGCCCCAGGCCAGAGAAAAGAGCAAUUUACUAAACUAGAGGAUGUUAGGAGCCAGGAGGCAUCUAAAAGGGCCUUCAUCAGGGAUGCUCGGAGCCCAAACCUGGCUCUGGAAGCACCUUCUCUGUAGCAGUCCCACGAAUAAAGAGGGCCCAACUGUCCUUUGGCCAAGGGGACAACUAGGAGCAAAUGGAAGCAGUCCUCAUCUAAGUUCUCACUCCCCACACCGUAGCACCUAAACUCCACUGACCCCCCCCCCCAAUAAACCUGAGUUCUAGAGAACAAAGCACACCACCACUUACCUGAGACAUCACCAUCCGUGUUCUCCCUGAGGACACCUCUCAUACACUCAUCAGCAGACAUGUGACACUCCUACAGGGGAUAAGAAGCCAGCAUGGGAUCAGCGCAUGU
rnacentral:lncRNA from 1 species